AGGACUGGGGCCCCGCAACUGGCCUCUCCUGCCCUCUUAAGCGCAGCGCCAUUUUAGCAACGCAGAAGCCCGGCGCCGGGAAGCCUCAGCUCGCCUGAAGGUGGUAAACUAUACCUACUGUCCCUCAAGAGAACACAAGAAGUGCUUUAAGAGGCGGCGGAAGGUGAUCGAAUUCCGGUGAUGCGAGUUGUUCUCCGUCUAUAAAUACGCCUCGCCCGAGCUGUGCGGUAGGCAUUGAGGCAGCCAGCGCAGGGGCUUCUGCUGAGGGGGCAGGCGGAGCUUGAGGAAACCGCAGAUAAGUUUUUUUCUCUUUGAAAGAUAGAGAUUAAUACAACUACUUAAAAAAUAUAGUCAAUAGGUUACUAAGAUAUUGCUUAGCGUUAAGUUUUUAACGUAAUUUUAAUAGCUUAAGAUUUUAAGAGAAAAUAUGAAGACUUAGAAGAGUAGCAUGAGGAAGGAAAAGAUAAAAGGUUUCUAAAACAUGACGGAGGUUGAGAUGAAGCUUCUUCAUGGAGUAAAAAAUGUAUUUAAAAGAAAAUUGAGAGAAAGGACUACAGAGCCCCGAAUUAAUACCAAUAGAAGGGCAAUGCUUUUAGAUUAAAAUGAAGGUGACUUAAACAGCUUAAAGUUUAGUUUAAAAGUUGUAGGUGAUUAAAAUAAUUUGAAGGCGAUCUUUUAAAAAGAGAUUAAACCGAAGGUGAUUAAAAGACCUUGAAAUCCAUGACGCAGGGAGAAUUGCGUCAUUUAAAGCCUAGUUAACGCAUUUACUAAACGCAGACGAAAAUGGAAAGAUU
rnacentral:lncRNA from 1 species